rnacentral:sRNA from 1 species
UAUAGAUGUUUGCGGACUAAAAACGCCACGUCCUGUGGCAACGUCCGCAUGACAAACAUCGUGUUUG